rnacentral:rRNA from 1 species
CCUACGGGUGGCUGCAGUGGGGAAUAUUGGACAAUGGGGGCAACCCUGAUCCAGCCAUGCCGCGUGUGUGAAGAAGGCCCUCGGGUUGUAAAGCACUUUCAGUGAGGAAGAACGCCUGGUGGUUAAUACCCAUCAGGAAAGACAUCACUCACAGAAGAAGCACCGGCUAACUCCGUGCCAGCAGCCGCGGUAAUACGGAGGGUGCGAGCGUUAAUCGGAAUUACUGGGCGUAAAGCGCGCGUAGGUGGCUUGAUAAGCCGGUUGUGAAAGCCCGGGCUCAACCUGGGAACGGCAUCCGGAACUGUCAAGCUAGAGUGCAGGAGAGGAAGGUAGAAUUCCCGGUGUAGCGGUGAAAUGCGUAGAGAGCGGGAGGAAUACCAGUGGCGAAGGCGGCCUUCUGGACUGACACUGACACUGAGGUGCGAAAGCGUGGGUAGCAAACAGGAUUAGAAACCCGAGUAGUC